GGCUCAGGAUGAACGCUGGCGGCGUGCUUAACACAUGCAAGUCGAACGAACCUUCGGGUUAGUGGCGGACGGGUGAGUAACGCGUGAGAAUCUGCCCUCAGGAGGGGGAUAACGGUUGGAAACGACCGCUAAUACCCCAUAUGCCGCGAGGUGAAAUGAAUUUCGCCUGAGGAUGAGCUCGCGUCUGAUUAGCUAGUUGGUGGGGUAAAGGCCUACCAAGGCAUCGAUCAGUAGCUGGUCUGAGAGGAUGAUCAGCCACACUGGGACUGAGACACGGCCCAGACUCCUACGGGAGGCAGCAGUGGGGAAUUUUCCGCAAUGGGCGAAAGCCUGACGGAGCAACGCCGCGUGAGGGAUGAAGGCCUCUGGGCUGUAAACCUCUUUUAUCAAGGAAGAAGAUCUGACGGUACUUGAUGAAUAAGCCACGGCUAAUUCCGUGCCAGCAGCCGCGGUAAUACGGGAGUGGCAAGCGUUAUCCGGAAUUAUUGGGCGUAAAGCGUCCGCAGGCGGCCCUUCAAGUCUGCUGUUAAAGAGUGGAGCUUAACUCCAUCAUGGCAGUGGAAACUGUUGGGCUUGAGUGUGGUAGGGGCAGAGGGAAUUCCCGGUGUAGCGGUGAAAUGCGUAGAUAUCGGGAAGAACACCAGUGGCGAAGGCGCUCUGCUGGGCCAUCACUGACGCUCAUGGACGAAAGCCAGGGGAGCGAAAGGGAUUAGAUACCCCUGUAGUCCUGGCCGUAAACGAUGAACACUAGGUGUCGGGGGAAUCGACCCCCUCGGUGUCGUAGCCAACGCGUUAAGUGUUCCGCCUGGGGAGUACGCACGCAAGUGUGAAACUCAAAGGAAUUGACGGGGGCCCGCACAAGCGGUGGAGUAUGUGGUUUAAUUCGAUGCAACGCGAAGAACCUUACCAGGGUUUGACAUCCUGCGAAUCUCUUGGAAACGAGAGAGUGCCUUCGGGAACGCAGUGACAGGUGGUGCAUGGCUGUCGUCAGCUCGUGUCGUGAGAUGUUGGGUUAAGUCCCGCAACGAGCGCAACCCACGUCUUUAGUUGCCAGCAUUUAGUUGGGCACUCUAGAGAGACCGCCGGUGAUAAACCGGAGGAAGGUGUGGAUGACGUCAAGUCAUCAUGCCCCUUACAUCCUGGGCUACACACGUACUACAAUGCUACGGACAAAGGGCAGCAAGUUCGCGAGGACAAGCAAAUCCCAUAAACCGUGGCUCAGUUCAGAUCGUAGGCUGCAACUCGCCUACGUGAAGGAGGAAUCGCUAGUAAUCGCAGGUCAGCAUACUGCGGUGAAUACGUUCCCGGGCCUUGUACACACCGCCCGUCACACCAUGGAAGUUGGCCACGCCCGAAGCCGUUACUCCAACCCUCGGGAGGAGGACGUCGAAGGUGGGGCUGAUGACUGGGGUGAAGUCGUAACAAGGUAUCCGUACCGGAAGGUGCGGAUGGAUCACCUCCUAA
rnacentral:rRNA from 3 species